rnacentral:lncRNA from 1 species
AAAAAAAUAAAAAAAAAAUAUAAUGAAAAUAAUUAAAAACCAAUUGUUCAAAGAACAAUUGAAGGUCUUUCAACCAAUAAGGAUGUAUUUUGAUAUGAAAAUAUUAAGAUUCAGUUGAAAAUGUCAGUUCCUAUGGCUUUAUGAUGUAUAAAUAUGAAUUUCGAGCAAAGGUCAAAAUCUAGAACGUCCAAAUAACCUAUGACCUUGACCUCAAUUUCAAGGUCAUAAACAUAGAAUCCCAAAUCAAAAGACCCCAGAUCUGUAUUAUGUAUGGUUCAUGAGUAAUAUCACUUUACGCAUAAUUCUAAAUAUAAGAGGGGCAAAAACUCCCAUUUAUUGUCUACGCACCCUUCCAAUCAAAAUUUAUAAGUUACGUCAUGUCGCAACUAACAAUUUAGUAAAAAUAUUUUGUCGAAAUCUUAUAAAGUAAUUGAAAAUAAGUAAAAAUAAGCAAAAAUCAAAAUUUAGAAUUUGACCUUGACCUUUGACCUUGACCUAAUUUUCAUUUUUUUGGACCAAGGAUCUUAAAUCUAAAGACCCUAGGUCUCUAUCACUUAUGGUUUACCAGUUAGAAAUGCAAAUCACUUAUAUCAUAUAUAAAAGGGGGGAUAACUCUCAUAUGGAGUCUCCAGAUAGCUUCGGUCAAAAUAAAACAGAUCAUCCUGAGGAUAUAACGAGCAAUUUGGAAAAAUAAAUUUGUCGCUUUCUUUUACGGUUGCGAAGCCUUAGUGGCCACAAGAAAAACAGUGUUCGGGGAGAUAACUCUUACAAGGUAAAGGUUUUUGUUACGCGGUGUCAGUUUCAGAAGCGCAUUAACUGUUCGAUAUCAUAUACCAUAUAUCUAAGCGACAUCUUGUGAAACAAAAAAACAGCGAAGGAAAAAAAAGUUGGCGGAAGAAAAAAAAAAAAAAUAAUAAUAAUAAUUAAAAACCAAUUGUUCAGAGAACAAUUGAAGGUCUUUCCACUAGUAAAGAU